rnacentral:rRNA from 1 species
UACGAAGGGGGCUAGCGUUGCUCGGAAUUACUGGGCGGUAAAGGGCGCGUAGGCGGACAGUUUAGUCAGAGGUGAAAGCCCAGGGCUCAACCCUGGAAUUGCCUUUGAUACUGGCUGUCUUGAGUACGGGAGAGGUGUGUGGAAGCUCCGAGUGUAGAGGUGAAAUUCGUAGAUAUUCGCAAGAACACCAAGUGGCGAAGGCGGCUCACUGGCCCGGU